UGUAGUAGUCCCUCAACUAAGAAAAAAAUCUUUACACUGCAGGGGUUCCUUCAGUCUCUCAAGGUUUUCAUAUUGCAUAUAAUGUCUGAAUUAAUUAAUGCACUUUCCCUUCAUUAGUAAAGGGUAAUAGCUGCUGAGAUUAGCUUUGGGGUCUCUAUCAGAAACUGAACAAAAAAUGGGAUUGGAGGAUUUUGUGUUUUGCUUUGUUUCUUUCAUACAAGUUUAAUAUGUAGCUUCAUUAUUAUAAAAUUGUUUGCACUUGGUGAGUCACUGGUCUGUAAAAAGCACCUGGAUUUAUUCAGCACUCAGAACAUGGCUGUUUUUAUUUGUUACAACUACUCAUCCUUGAACCCUGGGAAGCCCCUCUCCCUCAGUGCCAGGGCUCCCUCUGUGUCUAACAGGAUUUAAUUGCCCCGAUCAGCCCCACCCGGGCUGAGCCCCACCCACACCCUGUCCCCAUGGCUGCAGGAGCUCCAUUUAAGCUUGGCCCAGAGCUUGUUCCUGGUUUGGGCUUCCCUGGCUCUGAGCCUCUGUCUCUGCCUUGGUUGGUGUUGGUUCUGUGUUUCAGUUCCCACAGGAGGAUCUGAGGCUGCAGCUCCCUUCAUUAUUUGGGAAGCCUGAGGGGGAGAAAGAAGAGGUUCCCUCUUUGCAGAGUUGCUGCUAUCCAAAGGACAAAACACCAGCCAGCAUGACUCCUGUCUCCUCUGUCACAGCCACACUGCUGCUUCUCAGAAGUCAGGUUUGCUCAGACUGGUCCAGGAUUUCUUCUAUAAGCUUGUCGUUGUUCUUUCUAGAAAAAUGUUUUAAACUAAAAAAUAUUAGUCACACUUGAAUAUCUGCAGUUCAAACGCCACAGGGAUGGAUCUACUAAUGUUAAAAGUCUUUGUGCAUUCACGCCUCAUGAGAUCUAAUGUCAUGUGGUCUGUUUGAAUCAUCCCAAACAACCAAAUUGGCUUAAUCAGUAAAAAAUUGCGUAAUUAUCCAGUGUGGUUUGUAAUUAAGGAUAAAUGUUUGAAAGAAGCUCCUGUGAAGCCUGUGGUGAGGAAUGCUGCAGAGGAAGGGUAGGAGAGGAUGAAUGUGCUGUGUGGAGAGCCCGGACUCCCUGAUGCAGCCUGAGCCACUGUUUGAAGGUGGGAGCAGGCUGCUGAAACAGGGAAUGUUUUAUUUACUGUGCCAUGCUGUGCAUCACACUGAGCAUUUUGCUUCCUUUCAAUUGCCUUCUGCAGCAAGUCAGAUGGGAUGUAAAUCAUUAAUUAGCUUCAAGUGUUAUCACUUGUCCUGGAUCUGUACAUGCAGCUAUGCCAUGGGAGCCUUGAUUUCCAAACAAAGUUCAGGCAGGAUGCAGAAAGUAUAAUUGAGGAUGGGCCGAGAAAAAUAAUCAAGGGAGGUUAGGUAUUUAUGCCAAAAAGAGCCUUCCCACAGAUACACUUGAAGGUGGGUGUGGAGUGAGGCUGCCCUGCCUGGCCCUUCCUCAGUGUGCAGAAGUGGAACAUGCUGGGAGAGCUUAGAAACUGGAGUUGAAAGCAUCUGUGCCUUUUUUUAAAGCACUGAGCCCUGCUCUCAGCUAAAGGUGAGCAGAAAGCUGCCGGGGCAGUCAGACUGUGCAGUCCAUGUCCACACUUGGUUCAGUGUCUGCUUUGGUGCAUCCUGUCUGCCUGACAGCCUUCCCUCCCCUCAGUGUCCCACUGCACUGGCCACUUCUGUUUCUAGACCCAGCCUGCUGAAAGGGCAAAGGGGAUUAAGAGGAAAGCCUUGCAGGUCCUUCAGAGCCUGGCAGCCAGCAGGCUCUGCACUCCUGAGAGCCAUGAAAUGGUGCACUAAGUCUGCCCUUAGCCCUGAGCACUAAUUCCCUUUCCCCAGUGACAGCAUUAUGCCCAUUUCCUGAAAGCUUCUUAGUGCCAAGGGGUGCCAGAGGGCUCAGGCUCUGCUCUCUCCCAGUCCUCCCAGCUCUUGCAGAGGCACUUGGGCAGCCAGGGCUGGUGCCAGGGGUUUGAACAGCAGCACAGGGAUCCUGGGGCUGGGCUUGCCUUUACUGCUGAGCUUGGAUGGGCAGGGAGAGCUGGAGGGCACUUGGGUGUGGGAAGGCUGCUCCCAGGUGUGGAGACGGGGGAUUUGGGGAAGGGGCAAGGAGAGAUGCCUUUUUCUCUGUCAGACCUGUGUUACCCCGUCCCGUAGGAUGGAUGGACAGCAAAGCAUUUGGAAAUGUCUUCCCCUGUUCCCUCCCCAUGGGGUGGCAGUGCAGCUCCUUCAGGGGGUGGGAUACCCAAAGGCUGCCCCAAAUGCACAGAAAUGAGUAUUGGCAGGUCCAGCUCCACUGGAACCCUGGGUCUCACCUCUCUGAAGCUUUCACUUAACCCCACUUGGACAUGGAGGGCGGAGAUGUUGCAGGCACAGGCAGGGCAGCAGUCACAGGAGCUUUUUUAGAUGUUCCACUGGUAUCAUCCUGUUUCUCUAACAAACACAAGCCCUGCUGUCCUAAUUUGCUUUUUAAUUCACUAUAUCUGCUUGGUUGCAGACAGAAUUUUUGAAUUCCCCAGAUUUUCUAGUCAGAGAUGCACAGAGGAAGCUCAUACCUGAGCCAUUGGCAUUGCCUGUUACCUCCUGUAUUCCACUCCCUGGCAUACAGGGAAUCCACACAGAUUAAUUCCUGUGGGGCUCUCUUCCUCCCUCUUUGGGGUUCACAGCUGUCCCCAUGUCUCUGCUGUGAGCAGUUCUCCAUGGGAGUUUCAUCUCCAGUAGUAUAUUUAUGAAUAAAAAAGCCAAAUUACAAAUGAGAAAUGGGGCUCAUUCUCCCAGAAUGCUGUAAGGAAUUUGCUGAAGUGUGUGUCACUGGGG